AAAUUGAAGAGUUUGAUCAUGGCUCAGAUUGAACGCUGGCGGCAGGCCUAACACAUGCAAGUCGAACGGUAACAGGAAGCAGCUUGCUGCUUUGCUGACGAGUGGCGGACGGGUGAGUAAUGUCUGGGAAACUGCCUGAUGGAGGGGGAUAACUACUGGAAACGGUGGCUAAUACCGCAUAACGUCGCAAGACCAAAGAGGGGGACCUUCGGGCCUCUUGCCAUCAGAUGUGCCCAGAUGGGAUUAGCUUGUUGGUGAGGUAACGGCUCACCAAGGCGACGAUCCCUAGCUGGUCUGAGAGGAUGACCAGCCACACUGGAACUGAGACACGGUCCAGACUCCUACGGGAGGCAGCAGUGGGGAAUAUUGCACAAUGGGCGCAAGCCUGAUGCAGCCAUGCCGCGUGUAUGAAGAAGGCCUUCGGGUUGUAAAGUACUUUCAGCGGGGAGGAAGGUGUUGUGGUUAAUAACCACAGCAAUUGACGUUACCCGCAGAAGAAGCACCGGCUAACUCCGUGCCAGCAGCCGCGGUAAUACGGAGGGUGCAAGCGUUAAUCGGAAUUACUGGGCGUAAAGCGCACGCAGGCGGUCUGUCAAGUCGGAUGUGAAAUCCCCGGGCUCAACCUGGGAACUGCAUUCGAAACUGGCAGGCUUGAGUCUUGUAGAGGGGGGUAGAAUUCCAGGUGUAGCGGUGAAAUGCGUAGAGAUCUGGAGGAAUACCGGUGGCGAAGGCGGCCCCCUGGACAAAGACUGACGCUCAGGUGCGAAAGCGUGGGGAGCAAACAGGAUUAGAUACCCUGGUAGUCCACGCCGUAAACGAUGUCUACUUGGAGGUUGUGCCCUUGAGGCGUGGCUUCCGGAGCUAACGCGUUAAGUAGACCGCCUGGGGAGUACGGCCGCAAGGUUAAAACUCAAAUGAAUUGACGGGGGCCCGCACAAGCGGUGGAGCAUGUGGUUUAAUUCGAUGCAACGCGAAGAACCUUACCUGGUCUUGACAUCCACAGAACUUUUCAGAGAUGAUUGGUGCCUUCGGGAACCGUGAGACAGGUGCUGCAUGGCUGUCGUCAGCUCGUGUUGUGAAAUGUUGGGUUAAGUCCCGCAACGAGCGCAACCCUUAUCCUUUGUUGCCAGCGGUUAGGCCGGGAACUCAAAGGAGACUGCCAGUGAUAAACUGGAGGAAGGUGGGGAUGACGUCAAGUCAUCAUGGCCCUUACGACCAGGGCUACACACGUGCUACAAUGGCGCAUACAAAGAGAAGCGACCUCGCGAGAGCAAGCGGACCUCAUAAAGUGCGUCGUAGUCCGGAUUGGAGUCUGCAACUCGACUCCAUGAAGUCGGAAUCGCUAGUAAUCGUGGAUCAGAAUGCCACGGUGAAUACGUUCCCGGGCCUUGUACACACCGCCCGUCACACCAUGGGAGUGGGUUGCAAAAGAAGUAGGUAGCUUAACCUUCGGGAGGGCGCUUACCACUUUGUGAUUCAUGACUGGGGUGAAGUCGUAACAAGGUAACCGUAGGGGAACCUGCGGUUGGAUCACCUCCUUACCUUAAAG
rnacentral:rRNA from 1 species